AACGGUAACAGGANGUGCUUGCACNUCGCUGACGAGUGGCGGACGGGUGAGUAAUGCUUGGGAACUUGCCUUUGCGAGGGGGAUAACAGUUGGAAACGACUGCUAAUACCGCAUAAUGUCUUCGGACCAAACGGGGCUUAGGCUCCGGCGCAAAGAGAGGCCCAAGUGANAAUUANCUAGUUGGUAAGGUAAAGGCUUACCAAGGCAACGAUCUCUAGCUGUUCUGAGAGGAAGAUCAGCCACACUGGAACUGAGACACGGUCCAGACUCCUACGGGAGGCAGCAGUGGGGAAUAUUGCACAAUGGGGGAAACCCUGAUGCAGCCAUGCCGCGUGUGUGAAGAAGGCCUUCGGGUUGUAAAGCACUUUCAGUUGUGAGGAAAAGUUAGUAGUUAAUACCUGCUAGCCGUGACGUUAACAACAGAAGAAGCACCGGCUAACUCCGUGCCAGCAGCCGCGGUAAUACGGAGGGUGCGAGCGUUAAUCGGAAUUACUGGGCGUAAAGCGCACGCAGGCGGUUUGUUAAGCUAGAUGUGAAAGCCCCGGGCUCAACCUGGGACGGUCAUUUAGAACUGGCAGACUAGAGUCUUGGAGANGGGGNNNNNGNAAUUCCAGGUGUAGCGGUGAAAUGCGUAGAUAUCUGGAGGAACAUCAGUGGCGAANGCGACUCCCUGGCCAAAGACUGACGCUCAUGUGCGAAAGUGUGGGUAGCGAACAGGAUUAGAUACCCUGGUAGUCCACACCGUNNCGCUGUCUAC
rnacentral:rRNA from 1 species